rnacentral:rRNA from 1 species
GAUGAACGCUAGCGGCAGGCUUAAUACAUGCAAGUCGAGGGGCAGCGCGGGUAGCAAUACCUGGCGGCGACCGGCAAACGGGUGCGGAACACGUACAGAACCUUCCUUUAAGCGGGGGAUAGCCUUCGGAACGGAGAUUAAUACCCACUAGUAUUGUUGGUCGGCAUCGAUUGACAAUUAAAGAAUUUAUUCACUUAAAGAUGGCUGUGCGGCUGAUUAGGUAGUUGGUGCAGGAACGGCUCACCAAGCCUUCGAUCAGUAACUGGUGUGAGAGCACGACCAGUCACACGGGCACUGAGACACGGGCCCGGACUCCUACGGGAGGCAGCAGUAAGGAAUAUUGGUCAAUGGACGCAAGUACUGAACCAGCCAUGCCGCGUGAAGGAUGAAA